rnacentral:lncRNA from 1 species
UUAUAGAAACAAUGAGGUGUGAUUAGAGACCUCCCUAGUCAGGGUUUGUACUGUGGUACAUGGAAUUUCAGUUCCCAUUCCAUGCAUGAUAGAAUUCUAUCUAGUUUUUUAAAAGGACCUGAAGGUUAUUGGCCCAAGUGAAUUGUCUCCCUAAAAGUUCCAACUCCCUUAAUUAAAAGCAUCAAUUAUCGCAUCAAGAAUGAUAAUCUGUCAUUGUGAUUUGCAUUAUUCCUUUCAUGCGGACCUAUUAGUAUAGGUUAAGAUUCUAGUCCAUAAUUAGACAAGCUCUAUUAGCAAUGCCUCCUUGAAUUGUUGUUGUGCUGCACCCAUACAUAGACAUUAACACCCACUGAAAGCCAUCUUGUUUAUUCUGACCUUAAAUUUCACAAAGAAGUCCCUUUCUUCAGUUCCACCAAUAUCAUAACAUGAGAUAUUUA